CCCUUUACAAAAGGCUCCUGAUGCAAAAGCGUCCCUGCUGGUUCUCCAUUCUGCAUCCGUGCAGCCACGUUCUAUUGAUGGCCUGUUGUGAUUUCAAUGGAACAUCAUGGGAUGUACCUGGCACGUCGGGCAGCACUGGAUGGAGGUGCCUUUAG
rnacentral:lncRNA from 14 species